CAAUAGGAUCUCCGACCAGCUGAUGGAUGGAGAUCUGCAGGAGGCCAACCAGCUGAACCUGUUUUUCAACAGGUUUGAUAGUCCACUCCCUGACCACCCUCCCCCUCCCCCUCCCUGUGAUGCACCAUUAACACCUGUCAAUAACAACAAUGUACCUCCUCCUCCCCCUCCCCCUAACCAUACUAACCAGUUUCACCUCCCCAUCAAUAACAUCACCCUGCCCCCCUUACCCCAACUUCCAUUAACAACCCCCCACCCUCCCCCAUCAGAUCUCUCUCUCUGCUCUUCUGUGUCCACAGUUGCCAUCACCACAGAAGAUGUGAGGAGGGAGUUCAGUCGACUACGACCGGGAAAAGCUGCAGGACCGGACGGACUCAGCCCCAGAGUACUCAGGGACUGCGCCACACAGCUGUGUGGGGUCUUCCAGCACAUCUUCUCCCUGAGUCUGAGCCUGAUGACUGUCCCUGCCCUGUGGAAGACAACAUGCCUUGUUCCUGUGCCCAAGACCAAACAUCCAAGCACACACAGCGACUACAGACCAGUUGCUCUGACUUCACAUGUGAUGAAGUCUCUGGAGAGGCUGGUCCUGAAACACCUGCGUGCUGUUGUGGAACCAUCGCUGGACCCCCUGCAGUUUGCUUACCAGCCCCGUAUUGGAGUGGAGGACGCCAUCAUCUACCUGCUGCACAGAGCACACACCUACUUGGAGGAGGCAGGUAACACUGUUAGAAUCAUGUUCUUUGAUUUUUCCAGUGCGUUUAACACCGUGCAGCCUGCCCUUUUGAAUAGGAAGCUCCUGGACAUGCAGGUAGAGACCCCACUGGUCACCUGGAUCACUAACUAUCUUACAGGUCGACCACAAUUUGUGAGGCUGAGGAACACCGUCUCGGACACGAUAGUGAGCAGCACGGGGGCACCCCAGGGCACGGUACUGUCUCCAUUCCUGUUCACACUCUAUACAUCGGACUUCAGACACUGCUCACAGUCCUGCCACCUGCAGAAGUUCUCGGAUGACUCUGCCAUUGUGGGCUGUACCAGCAGAGGUCGGGAGGUGGAGUAUAUGAGUGUGGUGGACAGCUUUGUGGAGUGGUGCGGACAGAACCACCUGCAGCUGAAUGUCACAAAGACAAGAGAGCUGGUGGUGGACUUCAGGAAGCACCAGACACUCCCUAACCCGGUCAGCAUCAAGGGUACCAAUGUGGACAUUGUGGACAGCUACAAAUACCUGGGUGUCCACAUUGACCACAAACUGGACUGGUCCACAAACGCAGAGGCAAUAUACAGGAAGGGACAGAGUCGCCUGUAUCUACUGAGGAGACUCAGGUCCUUUAACGUCUGCCAGACCAUGCUGCAGAUGUUUUACCACUCGGUGGUCUCCAGCGUCAUCUUCUACGCUGUAGUGUGCUGGGGCAGCAGGAUGAAGGCGGCCGACACCAACAGACUCAACAAGCUCAUUAGGAAGGCUGGCUCGGUGCUGGGAGUGGAGCUGGAGUCUGUGGUGGAGGUGACGGAGAGGAGGAUACUGAGGAAACUCCUCAGUAUUCGUAACAACACGUCUCACCCCCUGCACGACACACUGCUGUCCUACAGGAGCACAUUCAGUGGUAGACUGAGACUACCGAGGAG
ensembl:lncRNA